rnacentral:lncRNA from 1 species
CUCUUGCUUCUGUAUGGAUUCAGUUCGGUAUAUACAAAAACCAGCUGGUCCGAACUAAAUUUCUUCCUAUCAGUUUAGGGAAUUCGAUUGAAAUCAUCUGUGUAGACGUUUAUAUAAAAUCUACCUGCAUUGUUUGUAAUAACUCGCUUUUGGUUUGGUUGUUUAACCGAAUCCACAUACAUCUCUCUUGAAGAUAUGCAUUUAAUCAUGUUUAAAAUUAAAAGUUCCACUAAUCAUUCACAUACUUCUUUUUCCAAUAACUUGCGACUUAGAAACUGGACUUGGGCAAAUUGGAAAGUCUUUGGGAUCAUUGGAUAAUUGUCCAAAGAAACAAAAUUAUCGAAUUUGGAUUUGUAAAAUGCUAAUAGUGGGAGAUGAAACUGAUAUUACAUUAUAAUUAAAUAGAAGAAAAAGUUAAACAGACCAUACAGGAGAUGGGGUUUAGGGUUGGUCCAGGGCACUGUCCUUUGAUCCCACUUGUCACGUGGCAAGGAGUGUCCGUCCCUUUGGUGCACUUUUAUUGAAACCACCACGAGGUGUCACGUGGGUAUAUCGCUCCAUCCCCACCUCAUGGGAGCCACAUCAUCAACCUGUUUUCCUCCCAUCUAGUUUUCUUUCUUUAGUCAAAAUUUCGGGGGAAUUUUGUGGGUAGCCCAAUUUGACCAAUUAAUUUACUUGAAUAAUCUUUUAUUACUUUUGAUAAAAAAAAAAAAAAUUCUUUUUUAGUAGCUAUGUUUAUGUUUCUUUUCUGACAAACUCCAAAUUUUAUCUGUCUGAUUACGAAAUCUCCGAUAAUAUCGAAUACCCAUUGUUACAAAGUUCCAUCUUUUGCGGCUGUUCAGCUCAGACAAAAAUUUCCAAAUUGAUUUCUAGGGUUUUCUGUGAGGUUAAUGUUGUUCUCUUUGUUUCUUUGUAUUCUCAUUUGAUUUUCGCAGGUGGGUUUGUGAAGAUUUUCCGUAAAGGUGAGUUCUUUUCCGAAUAAUUUAAUCUCAGAACAAUUUUAGCCUCUGUUUUUGUGUGUUUCAGUGUGUCGGUUCAGUUUAUUUCUAUUGCUUGGUUUCGUCCAGUUGAUUUCUGGGUUUAGGACCUUGGCCUUAAAUCUUGGGGCUCAUUUAUCCUUUGACGUAUUAAGUUUCUACAUCUUCACUUGAUGAAUAACUUAUAUUAAUCUUCUAAUGUGUGUUGUUACUAACUUGGAAGAAAGGAUGUACAUUCUCUGGUCCAACUUUGUCUUUUGAUUUAGGAACCUCUGUCUAGAUUUUACCAACCAAUUAGACCAAGUCUUACGCUGCACACAGAUAAGAGUUUGCAUCAUUGUAGAAAUGUACCUACAAUGUAUUAUUAUGCUAACUUGCCUUAUCGCAGUUAUAAUUUAUGAUUGUAUUUGUUUCAGGCACUAGGUGGUGAUCAUUUUUCAACAUGAACAACCCACAUCCUGAUGAUGAUCAUGUAAGCCACUUCUUAAAUUUAGUUAUUUUUAUCUUGAAACAAAAGAACCGAGUAAAUUUAUAUUUUUCUUUGAUCUUCUUCUCAAACUUUAGGAGGACACAACUGUUGCCGGAUUUGAAGUACCAGUAUCGCCGGUUUCAAGUUACAACAAUGUGUAUUCCGCAACCGAAGACGAGACAAGAGACCCACCAGCUGUACCGCCGCAUCUUCAACACUCUCUGUUAGGCCAUACAGGUAGCACGGAAUUGCCUUGUGCACCACAGAGUGUCGUCCUGAACCAUCUCUAUAUCGAAAAUCGAGACCCCCCAAGAUCCGUUGUAGCACUUGGUUUCUCGCAUCGGUUCAGGUCUAAGUAUGUCACUGUGGUGAUAUACAAGCCGGUCCAAAGAAGAGGAAACGCCAAUGUUUGAUGAUGAUGCCUCUUCUUAAUAUAGUGUUGGGAUCUCUUGCUUCUGUAUGGAUUCAGUUCGGUAUAUACAAAAACCAGCUGGUCCGAACUAAAUUUCUUCCUAUCAGUUUAGGGAAUUCGAUUGAAAUCAUCUGUGUAGACGUUUAUAUAAAAUCUACCUGCAUUGUUUGUAAUAACUCGCUUUUGGUUUGGUUGUUUAACCGAAUCCACAUACAUCUCUCUUGAAGAUAUGCAUUUAAUCAUGUUUAAAAUUAAAAGUUCCACUAAUC